GACGAACGCUGGCGGCGUGCUUAACACAUGCAAGUCGAACGAUGAAGCCGGAGCUUGCUCUGGUGAAUUAGUGGCGAACGGGUGAGUAACACGUGCGUAACCUGCCCUUGACUCUGGGAUAACUGCGGGAAACUGUAGCUAACACCGGAUACGACCCUCGGAGGCAUCUCCUGGGGGUGGAAAGAAUUUCGGUCAAGGAUGGACUCGCGGCCUAUCAGCUAGUUGGUGAGGUAAAGGCUCACCAAGGCGACGACGGGUAGCCGGCCUGAGAGGGUGACAGGCCAAAAUGGUAGGGAGACACGGCGCAGACUCCUGCGGGAGGCAGCAGUGGGGAAUAUUGAGCAAUGGGCGCAAGCCUGAUGCAGCAACGCCGCGUGAGGGAUGACGGACUUCGGGUUGUAAACCUCUUUUAGCAGGGACGAAGCGCAAGUGACGGUACCUGGAGAAGAAGGACCGGCCAACUACGUGCCAGCCGCCGCAGUAA
rnacentral:rRNA from 1 species